GAUGAACGCUAGCGGCAGGCUUAAUACAUGCAAGUCGAGGGGCAUCAAGGUACACGAAAGUGUAUUGUUGGCGACCGGCGGACGGGUGAGUAAUAGGUAGGUAACCUACCUCAUACUGAGGCAUAGCUGGGAGAAAUUCCAGGUAAUUCCUCAUGAGGUUAUAUGACACAUGUGAUAUAAUCAAAGGUAUCGCAAGGUACUGGUAUGAGAUGGGCUUACUGACCAUUAGCUAGUUGGUGAGAUAAGAGCUCACCAAGGCGAAGAUGGUUAGGGGUUUUGAGAGAGAGAUCCCCCACACUGGAACUGAGACACGGUCCAGACUCCUACGGGAGGCAGCAGUGGGGAAUUUCGGACAAUGGGGGCAACCCUGAUCCAGCCAUGCCGCGUGAGUGAAGAAGGCCUUCGGUUGUAAGCUCUUUCGGCCGGGAAAAAUACGCAUCAGUUAAUACCUGGUGUGGAUGAUGGUACCGGAAUAAGAAGCACCGGCUAACUACG
rnacentral:rRNA from 1 species